CAGGGAGGACAUCUUGGUGGCUGGGGCAGGGACAGGAGGGAGACUUUCCCAGCCUGUGUGAGCUAAUAGUGGCAAGUAUUUGGGAAAAAAGAAGGGUCUAGACAGAGAAGAUGGUGGAUCAGAGAAGAGCAUGGAGCAUGAGAGGGUGGACCUGAUGAGGUGGGAAGCCAGGCGUGCCCCACUGCCGGAGCAGGACUGCAAGGGGCUGCUGCAGACAACACAUGGAAAGCCACUGCCUCUGAGCCUUUGCAUUUGCAGUUCCCUCUGUGUGGAACAGCCUUCUCCCCAGACAUCCUUGUUCCUGCCUUCCUGUUUCACCCAGGUGGAACCUUCUGAGGAACUACUUAACAAUAUACAUACUGAUCCAUUGUGGAAUUAUUAAGGAAAAUACAUUGAAAUAGGUGGCAUUCUUGUCAAAGAUAUAUAUGGACGGCUAGAUGGAUAGAUAGGUGAAAAUCAUGUUCCAUGGAAGAAGAGUUAGCUCAGCCUGCAACUCAAACAAGUACAGAUAUUCUUCCAUGGAAUGACCAUCAUACUUGGAUUGUAAUAAAAAUGCUUUAGGCAAACUUCUCAUUUCAUCCUUGGCAUAUUAAAAAUAUGUAUGUAUGUUUAAGGCUUGAAACUUAACACUGUAUUUUAAUGUUUCAGUAAGGUAAUUCUUCUUAAAUAAAAUUGGCAUUUUUAAAAAAGCCCUCUCUCACCACUCCUAUUCAACAUAGUGUUGGAAGUUCUGGCCAGGGCAAUUAGGCAGGAGAAAGAAAUAAAGGGUAUUCAAU
rnacentral:lncRNA from 1 species